ACUCUAAUAAUCCUUCAUUUUACCUCUCUGUAGCUCUUUUCCUUUCUUGAAUGCAUACUCACACACACACACACAUAACCCUAUCAACAGUCACAGAGAAUUCCUUCUUUCUUACACCAGCUCUUAGUUACCAUAGAAACCAAUAAAGGAUCGGAUUGAGAUGGGAGGUGUUUAUGUUUGUGUGUGUGGUGUGUGUGUGUGAGACUUCGAGAUAGAGAGAAAGAGCGGGACAAGUCAAAAAAGGAGGAACAUCUAAAUGGCUUAUUAAUACUCCUCCCCCUUCAGCAUGACAAAAGGUUCCAUUCUCCACUGAUCCUAUAUAAAUUGGCUGUUUGGGGAGAGCGGGAGAGAUUUCAGUUUCAAGGAGAUGCUCCUGUUCCUGGCAGUGGACCUCAUUACUGGCUCCUCUGUGUUCCUGUUCUUGGCCGUUUAUAUUUUAUGACUGACUUUAUGUCUUUGCACAGUUACCAGUAGGCCCACUAAGACGAUGGCAAUGUGAUAUUGGGCUAUAUAAAUAAAAUUGAAUUGAAA